rnacentral:lncRNA from 10 species
GCGCUCCUCCCUGAAGCCUCCAGCUUUGGCUGCUUUCCUUCUGCACACUCCCAGGUCUUGGCCCUGUCACUGCGCUGUCCCCUGUGCCUGCAGGACUCCCCUGAUGAGCCCGCCAAGGCCAUCUGCAGUUCCCAGGCCCAGAUGUGGGGUCGCUGAAACGAGGGGGUCGUGGGGUGCAGGUGGCCCCACUCAUGGCCUGCUGGGCUCAUGGUAUCCCUGAGCCACGCAUUCCAAGAGGAGCGGCCACAGCAGCCCUGGGCAGCACUGGCGCCAGCAUGCAGGGCGGAACUGUGCAUGGCUUGGAGGGGUGAGGAGAGUGACCUAGGGAAACUGCUAAACACCUCCCAAGGGUUUCUGCUGUCUUGCGCCUGAACUCACCGGUCAGCCCUCCUCAUGUGUGACUGCGGUGUCUGCACAACCAUCCUGGAAAUAACUGAGCAGGCCAAGGUGCCUCAGGUCUAGCUUUUGUGGGCGGUUAAGACUGUGUCCACCAAGAGGAAGAAAAGGAGAACCUGGCUUCCAGGUUUUGGGGCAUGGCCCUGUUACCCAAUGCUGUUUGCUCCAGAGAAGCAUGGAAACAAGAGGUCUGCAUCUGUGCCAACGGUCAUUAAUUCCUGCAGUGAAGCCCAAGCCGCAUGCUAGGGGCUCGUCUCCCGUCUUCAUGCUUCAUGCUGCACUUGCUUCUCUUCAGCCAUUUACCUGAGAGAUGCUUCCUGGUCAUGUCUCCACAGAGCAGAGGGAGCCCUGCAUAGUUUUGCAAAGGGAGUGGUUCUGGAGGAAAAGCAGAGCGUGGAGUGUCAGAGGGCGGUGUGUUGUGAAAUGCAUUAGCCCUAGAGACCCUCUGUAACUGGCCUUCCACGUACGCCUGCCGCCAACGACAACACUGAACCAUGCAAGCGGGGUGUUUGCCAGCUCACGAGCCUGGGAGACAUGGAGCUUCCACUAGCAGAGGAGGUGGAGGGAAAACAGAAAGAAAGAACUGAGUCUAGCAGCCUCCUUGGACGUUUCUUCGAACGCCUCCAGCCCAGCACAACAAACAACCUCAGGGCAUCAGGCCCGUGCUGCGCCCCAGCACACCCAGCUUUGCCCUGCUCCAAGAGCCCACAGAGGGCCUCGGGGUCACACUCAAGGAGCGUGCCUGGAAUCCAAAGUGCAUGCUGUGGUGGGGAUAUGGACAAGGGCAGAAAUAGCACCAAGCAAGGGAGGAUGAACUGGGUGAGAGGUGUGAGGAAACUGCCCAAGCGCUGACACCUGGGUAGAUUUUUAAAUGGCAAGAAAUCACAUAGACAACAUGGGGGCCAGGGAGAGGGUUGAGAGGUGAGGGCCUCACAGUAGAGGGCUUUCCAAGGGAGGAAAUAGCACGGGCAACGGCUGAAGCAUGCAAUGGUGUGGUGUGUGUGUGAGCAUGAAUGUAUGUGAGCAAGUAUGUGAGCAAGUGUGUGAGAGCAUUUGUGUGUGAGAGCAUGUGUGUGAACAUGUGUGUGAGCAUGUGUGACCAUUAAUGUGUGAUGUGAACAUGAGAGCCUGUAAGAAUGUGAUCAUGUGUGUAAACGUGUGUGACACGAGUGUGUGAGCAUGUGUGCACAUGUGUGAUCAUGAGUGUAUGUGCAUGUGUAUGAGCAUGAAUGUGUGUGCAUGUGUGUAGCAUGUUAGUGUGUAUGUGUUUAGCAUGUGUGUGUGAGCAUGGAUGUAUGAGCAUGUGUGAGAAAGUGUGCAUGAGCAUGAAUAUGAAUAUGUGAGCAUGUGUGAGCAUGAGUGUGUGACCGUGUGUGAGCAUGACUGUUUGCAAAUGUGUGUGAGCAUGAGUGUGUGUGCAUGUGAGCACUGAGUAUGUGAGCGUGUGAGCACGUGUGAACAUUAGUGAGCAUGUGUGUACACGUGUGCAUGUGGGAACAUCAGUAUGUGAGCAUGAGUGACCGUGUGUGUGUGCAUGAAUGAGCAUGAGUGUGUAUAUAUGUGUGUGUGUGAGCUUGAGUGCGUGAGCAUGUAUGUGCAUGUGUGAGCAUGUGAGUGUGUGAACAUGAGUGUGUGCCUGUGUGAGCAUGAGUGUGAGCAUGUGAAUAUGUGCAUGUGUGAGCAUGAGUAUGUGAUCAUGUGAGUGUGUAUGAGCAUGAGUGUGUUUAGUGAUACAUUUGUGAUUAUACAAAUGAUUUCAUGAUCUGCAAAGUCCAAUGGACAUUUUAACACUUCCCCUAUCAGCACAUCACACUUUAUUAAAGUUAUUUUGUACAGUCUUCCCACUAGAUUAUAAAAAGUCAUGUCUACCUUGAUCAACCUUAAGAAGACUUGAACAAGUGGACAUAUUCCGCCUUCCUAGGUGAAAAAGCUUGAUUUUGCAAAGAUAGAAACCUUCCCAGUUAAACUAUACUUUUUUAAUGUGGUUCCAAUAAAAAGUUCAAUGGGAUGAAUGAUUUUGUAAUGUGAUUCUAGAUUUAAAUUGUAAUUGUACUAGUAAAUAUAAGAAUAUUCAAGCCAAUAUUUUAAUAAAGAAUACUAUUUUAUCAUGUACAGCUGCCAUAAUGAAACAGAUGACGCACGACAGAUCAGAAUAAGAAAUUCAGGAAACAAAUUAAGGUACAUAUCAUAAUUCGGUUAUUAUGACGGCAUUUAAAACACCAAAUACAUGGUGGCAAAAUAGCUGACUAAUCAUUUGGGAAACAGCCUGGGCAGGCGCCUCUGCUGCGUUCCCACCGUCAGGCGGCAGAACACGCAGGGAGUCACCGGGGUGCCUACUAGUUCUCCCACUGAUCCUGAAGCUGGGUGAGAGCAGAGACCAGCUAGUGUUCAACUCCCUGUCCCCAUCAUUCCAUGUGCCUUCCACAGAGGAUGCACUAAAUUCUCGCUGAAGGAAUAAAUGGCAUUUGAACCUCUUCAUGGUAUCGUUUGGGCCUCGGAGGCACACAACUCUUAGAUAGCUGCCCUUUAUGGCAGGUCACAAGUGAUGCAUGUCUGAGCUGAGAAGUCGACGUCCCACUUCUCCUUCAUUUUCUUGGCCAUCCCUGAAGCCAUGCUAGGUCUAUGCUAGAAUCCUAGUGAAACUUUUGCUCACUCAAUAAGCACAAAUAAUAAUAAUGUAAAUAUUUACAACCUUCUGACUAAAGUGUC